rnacentral:rRNA from 1 species
AGAGUUUGAUCAUGGCUCAGAUUGAACGCUGGCGGCAGGCCUAACACAUGCAAGUCGAACGGUAACAGGAAGCAGCUUGCUGCUUCGCUGACGAGUGGCGGACGGGUGAGUAAUGUCUGGGAAACUGCCUGAUGGAGGGGGAUAACUACUGGAAACGGUAGCUAAUACCGCAUAAUGUCGCAAGACCAAAGAGGGGGACCUUCGGGCCUCUUGCCAUCGGAUGUGCCCAGAUGGGAUUAGCUUGUUGGUGGGGUAACGGCUCACCAAGGCGACGAUCCCUAGCUGGUCUGAGAGGAUGACCAGCCACACUGGAACUGAGACACGGUCCAGACUCCUACGGGAGGCAGCAGUGGGGAAUAUUGCACAAUGGGCGCAAGCCUGAUGCAGCCAUGCCGCGUGUAUGAAGAAGGCCUUCGGGUUGUAAAGUACUUUCAGCGGGGAGGAAGGGAGUAAAGUUAAUACCUUUGCUCAUUGACGUUACCCGCAGAAGAAGCACCGGCUAACUCCGUGCCAGCAGCCGCGGUAAUACGGAGGGUGCAAGCGUUAAUCGGAAUUACUGGGCGUAAAGCGCACGCAGGCGGUUUGUUAAGUCAGAUGUGAAAUCCCCGGGCUCAACCUGGGAACUGCAUCUGAUACUGGCAAGCUUGAGUCUCGUAGAGGGGGUAGAAUUCCAGGUGUAGCGGUGAAAUGCGUAGAGAUCUGGAGGAAUACCGGUGGCGAAGGCGGCCCCCUGGACGAAGACUGACGCUCAGGUGCGAAAGCGUGGGGAGCAAACAGGAUUAGAUACCCUGGUAGUCCACGCCGUAAACGAUGUCGACUUGGAGGUUGUGCCCUUGAGGCGUGGCUUCCGGAGCUAACGCGUUAAGUCGACCGCCUGGGGAGUACGGCCGCAAGGUUAAAACUCAAAUGAAUUGACGGGGGCCCGCACAAGCGGUGGAGCAUGUGGUUUAAUUCGAUGCAACGCGAAGAACCUUACCUGGUCUUGACAUCCACGGAAGUUUUCAGAGAUGAGAAUGUGCCUUCGGGAACCGUGAGACAGGUGCUGCAUGGCUGUCGUCAGCUCGUGUUGUGAAAUGUUGGGUUAAGUCCCGCAACGAGCGCAACCCUUAUCCUUUGUUGCCAGCGGUCCGGCCGGGAACUCAAAGGAGACUGCCAGUGAUAAACUGGAGGAAGGUGGGGAUGACGUCAAGUCAUCAUGGCCCUUACGACCAGGGCUACACACGUGCUACAAUGGCGCAUACAAAGAGAAGCGACCUCGCGAGAGCAAGCGGACCUCAUAAAGUGCGUCGUAGUCCGGAUUGGAGUCUGCAACUCGACUCCAUGAAGUCGGAAUCGCUAGUAAUCGUGGAUCAGAAUGCCACGGUGAAUACGUUCCCGGGCCUUGUACACACCGCCCGUCACACCAUGGGAGUGGGUUGCAAAAGAAGUAGGUAGCUUAACCUUCGGGAGGGCGCUUACCACUUUGUGAUUCAUGACUGGGGUGAAGUCGUAACAAGGUAACCGUAGGGGAACCUGCGGUUGGAUCACCU